CCUACGGGUGGCAGCAGUCGAGAAUCAUUCACAAUGGGGGAAACCCUGAUGGUGCGACGCCGCGUGGGGGAAUGAAGGUCUUCGGAUUGUAAACCCCUGUCAUGUGGGAGCAAAUUAAAAAGAUAGUACCACAAGAGGAAGAGACGGCUAACUCUGUGCCAGCAGCCGCGGUAAUACAGAGGUCUCAAGCGUUGUUCGGAAUCACUGGGCGUAAAGCGUGCGUAGGCUGUUUCGUAAGUCGUGUGUGAAAGGCGCGGGCUCAACCCGCGGACGGCACAUGAUACUGCGAGACUAGAGUAAGGGAGAGGGAAGCGGAAUUCUCGGUGUAGCAGUGAAAUGCGUAGAUAUCGAGAGGAACACUCGUGGCGAAGGCGGGUUCCUGGACAUUAACUGACGCUGAGGCACGAAGGCCAGGGGAGCGAAAGGGAUUAGAUACCCUAGUAGUC
rnacentral:rRNA from 1 species